CGGGCAGGCGGGUGCCCAAGUCGGACGUGAAAGCUCCUGGCUCAACCGGGAGAGGCCGUUCGAGACUGGGCGUCUGGAGGGCAGUAGAGGGGCGUAGAAUUCCGGGUGGAGUGGUGAAAUGCGUAGAGAUCCGGAGGAAUACCAGAGGCGAAGGCGGCGCCCUGGGCUGCACCUGACGCUGAGCCGCGAAAGCAUGGGGAGCGAACG
rnacentral:rRNA from 1 species